rnacentral:rRNA from 1 species
CCCUAUGGGGUGCUGACACGGGCGCUGUGGUUUCUUUGGCAUGAUGUCACCUCCGUUCGGGCAUAAAGAAAGCCCUGCGGGAUUACUCCCACAAGGCUCUCUCGAUUCUGUUUUCCUAAGUAUAUACUAUCACAGAUGACCAUGUGAAAAACAGUGAAAAGGUGUGAAGACUUACGGGAGCGCUAUCAUUUCCAGCGCCUUUUUAUGGAGCAGAUGAAUGUUGCGGGUGGUGUAGCCCAUGUCGACCGCAAUCUGCUCCCAUGUUUUGAAGCACAGGUAACGCAGCUCCAGCAGUGUCUGGCAUUCGGUAUUGUUAACCGCCUUGAUGAGCCUAACCAUCUCGCGUUUCAGAUCGACGAGC